rnacentral:rRNA from 1 species
GACGAACGCUGGCGGCGUGCUUAACACAUGCCAGUCGAACGGAAAGGCCCUGCUUUUGUGGGGUGCUCGAGUGGCGAACGGGUGAGUAACACGUGAGUAACCUGCCCUUGACUUUGGGAUAACUUUAGGAAACUGGGGCUAAUACCGGAUAGGAGCUCCUGCUGCAUGGUGGGGGUUGGAAAGUUUCGGCGGUUGGGGAUGGACUCGCGGCUUAUCAGCUUGUUGGUGGGGUAGUGGCUUACCAAGGCUUUGACGGGUAGCCGGCCUGAGAGGGUGACCGGCCACAUUGGGACUGAGAUACGGCCCAGACUCCUACGGGAGGCAGCAGUGGGGAAUAUUGCACAAUGGGCGGAAGCCUGAUGCAGCAACGCCGCGUGCGGGAUGACGGCCUUCGGGUUGUAAACCGCUUUCGCCUGUGACGAAGCGUGAGUGACGGUAAUGGGUAAAGAAGCACCGGCUAACUACGUG